AGAGUUUGGACCUGGCUCAGGACGAACGCUGGCGGCGUGCCUAAUACAUGCAAGUCGAACGAACUCUGGUAUUGAUUGGUGCUUGCAUCAUGAUUUACAUUUGAGUGAGUGGCGAACUGGUGAGUAACACGUGGGAAACCUGCCCAGAAGCGGGGGAUAACACCUGGAAACAGAUGCUAAUACCGCAUAACAACUUGGACCGCAUGGUCCGAGUUUGAAAGAUGGCUUCGGCUAUCACUUUUGGAUGGUCCCGCGGCGUAUUAGCUAGAUGGUGGGGUAACGGCUCACCAUGGCAAUGAUACGUAGCCGACCUGAGAGGGUAAUCGGCCACAUUGGGACUGAGACACGGCCCAAACUCCUACGGGAGGCAGCAGUAGGGAAUCUUCCACAAUGGACGAAAGUCUGAUGGAGCAACGCCGCGUGAGUGAAGAAGGGUUUCGGCUCGUAAAACUCUGUUGUUAAAGAAGAACAUAUCUGAGAGUAACUGUUCAGGUAUGACGGUA
rnacentral:rRNA from 2 species